AUGCACGCUGGCGGCGUGCCUAAUACAUGCAAGUCGAGCGAACAGACGAGGAGCUUGCUCCUCUGACGUUAGCGGCGGACGGGUGAGUAACACGUGGAUAACCUACCUAUAAGACUGGGAUAACUUCGGGAAACCGGAGCUAAUACCGGAUAAUAUAUUGAACCGCAUGGUUCAAUAGUGAAAGACGGUUUUGCUGUCACUUAUAGAUGGAUCCGCGCCGCAUUAGCUAGUUGGUAAGGUAACGGCUUACCAAGGCGACGAUGCGUAGCCGACCUGAGAGGGUGAUCGGCCACACUGGAACUGGGACACGGUCCAGACUCCUACGGGAGGCAGCAGUAGGGAAUCUUCCGCAAUGGGCGAAAGCCUGACGGAGCAACGCCGCGUGAGUGAUGAAGGUCUUCGGAUCGUAAAACUCUGUUAUUAGGGAAGAACAAAUGUGUAAGUAACUAUGCACGUCUUGACGGUACCUAAUCAGAAAGCCACGGCUAACUACGUG
rnacentral:rRNA from 1 species